UGGCUCUGGCAACGAUGAAGAACGCAGCGAAACGCGAAAGGUAUUGCGAAUUGCAGAAUCAGUGAGUCAUCGAAUCUUUGAACGCACAUUGCGCCUCUCGGUAUUCCGGGAGGCACGCCUGUUCGAGCGCCAUUACACACUCCAAGCGAAGCUUGAUGUUGGAUGCUGCGAUGCUGUUAUGGCUUCGCACGUCUUGAAAAGAUGGGCACCCGCCGCGGGACCACGAGCGUAGCAAGACUUAGGUCAUUCGCUCUGUCGGAUCUUUCGGAGGGUUGUCUGAGUUGUCUCUGGAACGCGUGUGGACUUGAUUGUCCGCUGUGGGAAAGAGGUGGCAUAUUUCACGAGUUUGGCCUCGGAUCAGGUGGGGAUACCCGCUGA
rnacentral:misc_RNA from 1 species